CGUCGGUCUACAGCCACAAACAAGGAAUUUGUGUGGGUCCCGCUCCAAGUGAAGUCUGGGCCUGGAACUCGGAACUCACGUAACUCCCACCCGACCCGACUCAAAGUCACCCGAUCCGCGGCCGCGUCUGCCGUCUGGUGGCACCAGAAUUGAACCCCACCCGCGGCCGCCGCCGCAGCAACGUCGGCAAUCCGAGACGCCGGAGGCCUCCUCCUCUCCUAAUACCGCCCCCCCUCGGGACCGGGAGGGAGUCCGCCGCGGUGCGGAUCGCGGCCACGGCCACGGAAAACACCGGGGCGCGGCUCAUGGACCGCAUCGUCGGCGGCAAGUUCAAGCUCGGCCGGAAGAUCGGAUGCGGCUCCUUCGGCGAGAUCUACCUCGCCACGCACGUGGACACCUACGAGAUCGUCGCCGUGAAGAUCGAGAGCAGCAAGACGAAGCAUCCACAGCUGUUCUAUGAGGCGAAGCUGUACAAUACCCUCCAAGGAGGAAGUGGCAUUGCCAACGUCAAGUGGUGCGGUGUGGAUGGAGAAGAGAAUGUUCUCGUCAUUGAUUUGCUGGGGCCGAGUUUGGAGGACCUGUUUUGUUAUUGUGGCCGAAAAUUCACGCUGAAGACUGUCCUGAUGUUGGCUGACCAGAUGAUUACAAGAAUAGAGUUCAUGCAUUCCAAAGGGUACUUACACAGAGACAUCAAACCUGACAACUUUCUGAUGGGUCUUGGUCGGAAAGCAAACCAGGUAUAUAUAAUUGAUUUUGGUCUUGCAAAAAGAUACCGUGAUUCCACUACGAAUCGCCAUAUUCCUUACAGAGAAAAUAAGAGCUUGACUGGUACAGCGCGCUAUGCAAGUUGCAACACCCACCUUGGAAUAGAACAAAGCCGCAGAGAUGAUUUGGUAUCUCUAGGCUAUGUGCUUUUGUAUUUUCUCCGAGGAAGCCUCCCUUGGCAGGGACUAAAAGCCGCAACAAAGGCACAGAAGUAUGACAAGAUAUGUGAGAAAAAGAUAUCGACUCCUAUCGAGGUCUUAUGCAAAUCCUGUCCGGUCCAGUUUUCAUCUUACUUCCAUUAUUGCCAUUCAUUGGCAUUUGAUCAGCGACCUGACUAUGCAUUUGUGAAGCGACUUUUCCGUGACUUGUUUAUCAGCCAAGAUUAUGAGUUUGAUUAUGUCUUCGACUGGACAGUUUUGAAAUACAAACAAGGCCACAAACAAAAGCAAAGUCCUGGGGCACCUAUUGCUCGACCUAUUCAAGCACAUGGACCGAAACAAGCAGGUGAUAGAGCCUAUGCACCUUUUGAUACUCAGCUACAAAUGAGUAGAUGUGGUUGCUGAUAAGUGUAAAUGGUGUUAUUAAUCAUAACGAAGCCCAGGAGCAUGUAGAGACAAGUCGUCCAACAGGGCAAGCUGCAUGGUCGCAAGACAAACAGGCAACCAACAAUGAUCGGAAUCCUGACGUGCGGCAUACCGUGAACCUUGCCCAGUUGUUCCGCGGUGUCUUUUGGGUUUUCGAUUGACCACUGUUGGAUAUAAGAACAAAAAGUUUGAAGUUGACCGAUUGUCUUCUCUUGUUGGAGUUUCGUGUUCAGAGACAAGACAUGGCUGCUGGAAAAGCACAGCUGACAACAUCUGUGGCUCUUCCUAGUUCCCAGUGGAAAAAUUAUAGUGAUUCAAGACAUAAAGGACAAUUUGAUGCUGUUCACCACAAUCAGGGUAUUGUAAACAUAACUAGCUCAUCUAACAGUUGGCUUCCUACAUUCCAGCACAAUGCCCCAGGAAAAUGACAGAUCAUAUCUGGUGGAGCAAAGAGGAAGUGCUUUGAGAGUUAGAGGAGGCCCCUGUUCAUCUGAGUUGGUUCAGAGUUAAGCAUUGCACAAUCUGUAGACUUGAUGUCUCAUGUAUUGUUACUGAGGUGGCUCCUGAAGCACUGAUGCAUUUGAUGAUACUAUUAGCUGAUAAUAUGGAAGGUUUGCUCGCGGUUGUGAUGACUCUUGAAUGCUUGGGCAGUUUGUUGGACCGCUGCUUAAAUGCUUCUUUGUAGUAGUUCUGGAUGCCUUGUAAAUUGCUUACAUGUUAAUAUAUGUAUGGGUUGAACAUUGCAAAUAAGAUGAUCUGAGCUUUGCAGUUUCUGGCGUCAAUUUAAUACACAUGUUGCCAUAUGAUUAUUUAU